ensembl:lncRNA
CCCCAUCCUCCUCCCCCCCCCCCUCGCUCACAAGGAGCCUCUCGCCUGUCACACCUGACCUGAUGUUUUCCCCCAGCGGCAGGUGAUCUACCAUCACCUGGUCCCCCUGGUCCAUCGUGCGCUCACUCACAGAGAGCGACCCCCAGUGGACUUUUUAGGAAUAGCAGCUACUUUUAUAUAAAUACAAUUUAUGUCUUUUUGUAAUUCUCACAAUAGUAAAUUCAUCCGGCAAGGCAAUUUUCUUUGUAUAUCACAUUUCAACAUCAAGGCAAUUGAAAGUGCUUCAUAUAAAACCAUCCAAACGUAACGAUGUAAAAACGUCAUGAACACUGAAACGUAAAAUGACGUGUGUGUGUGUGUAGAACCUCCGCCCUUUGCAGCCUGUUAAACACUCGUUCCUUUUGGCCUUUAGCAGUAAAUUGAGCAUUUUUAAAUUGUAAAGGCGUUGAAGCAGCUGUUAUUGGUGCGCCGUGUCCAGCCCGACAAAGCGGACAUUUGACGGUGAUGGAUUUUAUUUUGUUUCUGCCCAUCUAUUGUGGAGUUCACAAAGAAACUAUUAACAAACAAAGCCAGAAAUGCUGCCUAAAAUCAGAGUGAAUGAUUGGACACACUGGCCGCAGAUACAUUUUAUUCCAGUGUGAGAGACAAAAAAGGAAAAAAGGAUGUUUUUUUGAGGGGAAAUUUCCAUUUGAGUAGAGAGGAGAGGAGGAAGGAUUUGAGGAAAGGAAGAUUACCGGUACAAAGCAACCCUCUAUUACUAAAGACUACGUAAACCGGUUCAUCCCUGUAAUCAACAAACAAUGUACUUCCUGUUUUAGUGGCACGCGAAUAGUCCUGUAAGAUUCCUUUUCCGACGUGCUGGACGGAAGUCAUUUGUACAGCGCCUGCGUGGAUGUAGUCCAGCAGACCCUUUUAAAUGCACCUGAACAUCAUUGGUCCUAAGGGUUCCACACACGCAACAUCUGUACGUGGACGUAGUACCAGGGACUAGCGCUCCAGUUUGGGUAUUCAUCCAAUGCUCACAAUGUUCAAACUCAGUGUGUAUCCGCUCGUCCUACGUGUACCUUAAAAUCAGUGUCACCUCUGGACAAAAUCCUUAGGUUCAUUUAAAAAAUAAAUAUAUUCCUAUUUGCACUGCGCAUGGAAACUACUGGAAUUACAUAAUAUUAAGGUGUCUUAUUUUUAUAAUCUUUUCUUUUGGUGUAUUUUGCAUAAGAUGUGAAUAGACAGGCUACCUAGCAGGUGAGAGGACACGCGUCCUGCAGGCCGUCCUCUUGGUGAAGCACAGUCUUUAUUGUUCCAAUAAAAUCACACUUGUGAAUUAAGACAUGCUUUUGUACACGAUUAUGUAAAUAAGCAAAUGACUCCCACUUUGUCUUCAGUUACAUUAUUGCUCAUUUAGAUGUAAUUUGUACAUUCCUUGUGCGAUUGAAUCUUGGUGUUUAUUUAUUUCUUUUGAAGUUUUUGAACCUUUAAGGGGGUUUGAUUCGUGCCUGUGGUUGUUACUUGAUUCUGAUGUGAGUUUUUCAUCACAGGACUGAGCGUAUGACACAAACCCACAUGUUGCUGUAAAGGUUUAAUGUUGUUAGCAGUCCGUAGUCACUAAAUAAAUACAUAGAACUAUGAGUGUUGAUUUAAUUUAAGAAUCUCUGUUGUUGUAAAUGAGAUGUACAUGUCCAGAUGUAAUAAAUGAAGGUUUGCAGCUGUAAGGGCAGCUCAACAGCU